UACGUAGGGUGCAAGCGUUGUCCGGAAUUAUUGGGCGUAAAGAGCUCGUAGGCGGUUUGUUGCGUCGGCUGUGAAAUCCCGAGGCUCAACCUCGGGUCUGCAGUCGAUACGAGCAAACUAGAGUGUUGCAGGGGAGACUGGAAUUCCUGGUGUAGCGGUGGAAUGCGCAGAUAUCAGGAGGAACACCAAUGGCGAAGGCAGAUCUCUGGGCCGUAACUGACGCUGAGGAGCGAAAGCAUGGGGAGCGAACAGG
rnacentral:rRNA from 1 species